rnacentral:lncRNA from 1 species
AAAUGGAGGUGAUAGUGGAAUGGUGUUCUAGGAUCUUCUACAUAUCCCGCGUGGAAAAGCGAGAGGUCUCUCUAUGCUUUGCCCGCCACCUGCCGUCCAAUAACGAAGCAGCCUGUGUGCAUCCCUUCUUCAACUUUGACCACUCUACUUUACUAUCCAUAUUCUAAAUCUCAAGAGCACCCAUAAACCUUUACCCUUUGACCCCACCUCGAUUAUUCUUAAUCAUACCUUUAUUUACUUACUUUACUAAAUUAUUUUAAAUCAUACCAGUUUUU